rnacentral:rRNA from 1 species
GGAUUGGAGUCUGCAACUCGACUCCAUGAAGCUGGAUUCGCUAGUAAUCGCGCAUCAGCCAUGGCGCGGUGAAUACGUUCCCGGGCCUUGUACACACCGCCCGUCAAGCCAUGGGAGUCGGGAGUGCCUGAAGUUCGUGACCGUCACAGGAGCGACCUAAGGCAAGACCGAUGACUGGGGCUAAGUCGUAACAAGGUACC